rnacentral:lncRNA from 1 species
CUGUUAGUAUUUUGUUGCUGUUUGUUCUUGACCUGUUGCUGUAUCAGUUCCCGUCCGAAUGGCCUUCUGUAUCUCCUGUUGAUAUCACAGCAGAGCUGGAUGUGCUUGCACAGCGCUGUCUUGACCUGACACACUGCUUCCAUGCCAAACUACAGGCCCAGAAGGACUCCGAUUCAGGGACCUUGCAUGAAUGAGAAUAUGAGUCCUUGCGGAUGCUGGAGGGUUUGGAGAGGAUGACGGCAGAACUUAUUACGUGUGCUGAACAUCGAAAGAAAGACUGGGAGAGGUGGGAUAUGAGGAUCUCUGGAGCUUUGUGUCCCGUCCGGAGGAGAGGUGAAUGGGGCGACCCGGCCUGUUCCUGCCUGCCACCCAUCCUGUCGUACAGCAGUGAGGCUGAACUGAGAGAGCUGGACAGCCAAAGGCUAAGAGUAGAACAACUUCAGCAGGCCAUUCGUCUUCAACAGGCAAUGUCCGAUAGCCUCGCGUCGUACUGGAGCUCUCGUCCCGGAGCCGUUCGACCCAGUGCCGUGGUUCUGCGUGGCUUGUACUCGCUGCUGGCGGAGGGAGGAGUUCAGUUCCCGUCACUGGUUUUGGAUUCGGAGACAGAUUGAGCAAAAACAAGACUGUAUUUCAGGGAUAGUUGACUGAAUUCCAUGAAGCACAGCAGGGAAGCUUUCCUGAGAACUGACACGAAACUGUUCUCCAGAACUCUUAUUCUGCGAGAAUCUGUAAGCGUGUUCGGUGUGUGCAUUUGGCUCGGAUUUUUAACAAAGUGCCUUUUAAUCGGUCACAUGACUGGAGAUGUGAUGAGAGACUGCAGCUGCUGUUAACAAACGGGAAUAAAGCUUCCAGCUGACA